UACGUAGGUGGCAAGCGUUGUCCGGAAUUAUUGGGCGUAAAGCGCGCGCAGGCGGCUUUACUUACGUGAUGUGAAAGCCCACGGCUCAACCGUGGAGGUCAUUGGAAACUGGGGGACUUGAGUGCAGAAGAGGAAAGCGGAAUUCCACGUGUAGCGGUGAAAUGCGUAGAGAUGUGGAGGAACACCAGUGGCGAAGGCGGCUUUCUGGUCUGUAACUGACACUGAGGCGCGAAAGCGUGGGGAGCGAACAGG
rnacentral:rRNA from 1 species